AAUCACUAAUCAUUACUUACAUUUUAUAGUAUACCAAUGAGUGCUGUUACUAUAAUGAUCCUUGGACAAUCAUAUACCUGUAGUAGAGCUGGUCAAGUGAUACAAGUUGAUCAGAUUACAAAUGGGGUGAGGUAUUGUGGAGGGAUUGUGUGCCCAUCUUGUGUUGAGAUAUGCUAUGAUGAUUUUGAAAACUGCCCUGAACAGGUAAUAAGAGUUUUAUAUUAACACAAUAUCUUAGAUUUUUCUAUGAUUAAGCUCAACUGUAAGGAGAUUUAGCAAGUCCUACUCCAACUGAAAGUAUUGGAAGUCCCACUUCUGCUAGUGUCCAAAGUUCUACUUCUACUGCUAGUUUUAAAAG